rnacentral:rRNA from 1 species
UACGUAGGUGGCAAGCGUUGUCCGGAUUUACUGGGCGUAAAGAGCGCGCAGGCGGUCGUUUAAGUCGAAUGUGAAAGCCCCCGGCUCAACUGGGGAGGGUCAUUCGAUACUGAUCGACUUGAAGGCAGGAGAGGGAAGUGGAAUUCCGGGUGUAGUGGUGAAAUGCGUAGAUACCCGGAGGAACACCAGUGGCGAAGGCGACUUCCUGGCCUGCUCUUGACGCUGAGGCGCGAAAGCUGGGGGAGCAAACGGG